AAAUGGGAGUCAGUCCAUGGUUACAUCACCGCUUUCUGAGACAGAUUCAGGGAGGUACACUCUGACCUGUGAAUCCAACAAUGCCACCAUGUUUUCCACGACUGUGAUUCUUCAUGUAAUGAGUGAGUAACAGCUUCUCAUCGUCUUUCUUCUACAAUACUCAAACAAACUCUGUUUGAUCAUAAAUUAGUGAUAAUAAAAUGAAUUUAAUUGUUUUCUUUGUUGUUUAGAACGUCCAACAAAACCUCCAACAAAACCACAGCUGAUGCUCGAUGGUGUGGACGUCCCAGAUGCUUCCCCACUUUUUAAGUGUGUCUCUGAGGGUUUCCCCAAACCCACAAUCCAAUGGUCUGGGUAAGAUGUUGUCCUUUACAUUUGUAUACAAAGUUUAGAAUAGCAGCACUUCUUAAUGUCUGAUUUUAGACUGAAUCAUUUAGAUGGACACUUUAUUUUGGUGGGUGGUUAGGAUAGAUGGGUAUUAGACAAGCUUUGAUAAUAAUGUAUGUCAAAGACACAGCACUCUAAUUUUACACCACUAACAAUUGUUUUUCUCUGUUUGAACAGUAACAAGGAUGGAGAACAGAGUUUAAAGGGAAGUGACAGAAAGACAGAGAGCAAAAUAUCAAGCGGUUAUUAUUAUAAUACAGGAAUGAUGUGCUGUGCAACCAAUACUGAAGGACAAGAGUGCUCCCAACUGUAUGACUACGACUUACAGAGCAGUGUAAUGAACAAAGAUGAGGCAUCUACUGUCACCCUGAGCAAAGGUCAGUCUCUGCUGCUUCGCUGCAGAGUAAAAGGAUACAGUCUGACAUCACCUGUGUGGGAGAAAGGAGGAAGACAGCUCAAUGCCAGGACAUUGUCAUGUAAACCAGAGGAAGAGGAGGAGAUGUGCAUUAAAAAUGACUCACAUUAUGGUGUUCAGAUGGCCUACCUGUCCAUCAGAUCAGUGAGAGAGGAGCACAGCGGCACAUACACCUGCACGAGUACAAAUAAAAACUCAAAGUCUGUUGAUGUUCAUGUCUCGGAUGAAGGUUUCCUCUCUGCACAGCUGGAUGAGACCAAGAUCAUAUCAGCUCAGGAGGCAUCCAGCACCUGCUUGCAGGCCACUGUUUCCUACCAUCCUGUUCUCCAGCACUGUUCCUGGGAGACUCCUGACAAAAAAAGGACUAAAUGUGUCAGGGAGACAUGGGUAACACAGCACAGGACUGUGAAGCUUUGUGAUCCACUCAUAUCAGGAGAUUAUAAGUUACACCUGGAGGCUGGAGAACAAAAUGAAACAAAGACCAUAUCAGUGUGUGUUGUAGGUGGGUUAAUGUAACCUUUGUUACAGUUUUACUAUUAUUUAAAUGUAAUUAUAAUUUAUAUUUAAAAUGUGAGAUUGUUUGACAUCAUCUGAUUUUUGUUCCAGAUGAACCAAAGUUCAACUUCUCGUUUAAUAAGGAUGAUGGUACCAUCAACCUUGAGACUUUCAGUCUGUUGCCAGCAAACUAUACCUGGAUGUUUUGCUCUGAGCUCAAUGACAGGUAUGAUUACCUGCACAGCCGUUCAGCUCAGAGAGCAUUUUAGCUCUGAUUAUUUAAACCCCUUUUAUUUUGUUUCACUGCAGCUGUGAAACAGACUCGUCCUGGGAUGAGGUCCCAAAUGCAUUUAAAGCAGACUCUGUUUCCUGCAACAAGACGAUCAAGAGCUCAGUGAAACCAGACCUCGGGGAUGGACAUCAUUUAAAGUUUUGUCUGACAAACUCACUUGGCUCCUGGUGCCAAAGUUACCACAUAAUCAUCCCACCUGCAGUCCAGUACUCUAUAGGUAAUAACCAGUAUUUGCAUCAGAAAAUAUUUGAUGAAAUUCAUUUAAAGCUGUCAUGCUCACUGAAAAGCUGUCGUUUGUAGGUAAACAACCUCAGGAUAUCAUAUUCCUGCUGAAAGCAGGCAAUAUAACUCUCCUUCUGGCUCUGGUAGUAGUCAGCACAGUGCUCAUAUUCUUCAUCAAAAAGAAGGUAAAUAUAUUCAGCUUUUUUAACAAACACAAAUAGAAGAGGACACCAAGUCAUUUGUCUUUGCAAUAUAAACCUCAGUAUCAGCCUUCAAGGGAGAUUAAUUUAAUCUUUCAGGAUUUUUGUUUGUUUCAUAAGAGUUUGGUAUCUCUGUAACAGUAAUGUAUUUGUGUAGCACUUUUUAAAACAGUUAUAAAGUGUUUCACACUCAGGAUAAAGCUGUCAUAUCCAACAAUGGUCAUGUUUUCAGAAGACUGUGUUCAGUUUUAAAAAGGUUUAUUUUACAGAAUUUCAGAUCAACAGGGGAGAGUCUGGAGCUACAAGAGUCUCGGGUGAGUGUGUGUUCACCGAACGAGAACGGUCUUCUGCUAGAGAAAAACAGAUGAGGGAUAUUUUAUUGGGAUGAGGAUUUGAGGUUUUACUUGAAUAUUUUUCCAGAGUAGCUGGAAGAGUAAGUAGAAGGCCAGAGUCUAAGGAUUCAAACAAAAAUUACAGAGAUAGUUUACUGCAGCCAAUACCCCAAGAACCUGACAAGGAGCGUAGGCUUGAGCUGGUGCUUAAAUACAUGGAGGUAAUGAACUGAUGUGAAACAGGUGUGUUGGCUACAGCAGUGCCAACCUAAUCUCCACCUAAAAGCAGAGGAAAGACGAGACACUACACUCAUUAGAUAUAAACUAUGGUCAAAAAUAAUGUGCAAAGAUGCAGGAAAAGCUAAUCUGCAAAAAUGAGUUUUCAGCAGCCAGUUAAAUUCAGCCAAGCUGAUUGCCAAACAGACGAUAAGAAGACAUCUAAUUAGUUAUAGCAUUGAAGCAUUCAUGGAGGUGGGAGAGGCUGCUGAGGCUAAACAGAAAAGCCCAGCUGUGUGUUGUCAGCAUAGCAAAUGAAAGCAGACGUGGUCCAAGGAUUGAACCCUGAGGGACUCCACGUAUGCAAGAAGCACAAAAGCACCAUUAUCAAUGAGUCAUACUGCCUCUUAUUUUUUCAGCUCCAUCAUCCAGCUCUCAACCAGACUUCCUGCCACUACAGGAAUGUAUCAACCACUGUGGACAUUUCUGAGGGAUAAAACAGAAAAAAGACUCUGCUGGCUGGUCUAUACUUACACAUCAGAGCCAGACAUUUAAGCAGCUGAGGACAAUCUUCUGCAACCAGCAGAUACAGAGUGAUCACCUAUAUAACAUUUUAUGCAUACAAAAUGUUACACAAUAAUAAUCUCUUAAAAAUUAAGAGUAGAAUGAAUUUGCUUUACAUUUUAUUAAAAUAUAAUAAGCAUUUUAUCAUUUCAGGUGGAACUGGGGAAAACAUAUUUAGCCUAUGUUUAUCAUACUUUCCAUAAUGUAUUACAGUGUUUAUCUAUAUACUCCAACUUGAGCAAAAUGCAUGAAGGAAGUGAGUCCUGAAUGUGAACAAAAUUAUUUUUGUAUGUAAGUUUCAUAAGAUGUAGUUUUCUUUAACAGGGUUGUAAAUAUUCUAAAUAUAAAUAUACAUAAUAUAUCUGGGGGGGUUAUAUAUAUUUAAGCAUUAUACCUGAAGUACAAUAUGUUUUAUUCAUUAAAAGAAAAGCUGGUAAUCAUAUAUUUAUGUUAAUCAUGUGUAUGUGUCUAUUUUAUUUUGGUCCCAAGAGAAAAGGAAUCUAACUUUUAUGAGAAGGUAAGAAGCAGAGGUGGGACCAAGUCAUUGUUUUGCAAGUCUCAAGUAAGUCCCAAGUCUUUAUCCUCAAGUCACAAGUCAAGUCUCAAGUAAAGUCAAGCAAGUCAGAGUCAAGUCGCAAGUCAAGACAGACAACUUUCAAGUCAAGUCCCAAGUCCGAAACUUUGAAUUUCAAGUCCUUUCAAGUCUUUUUUUUAACCCUCUGGGGUCCCGGGUAUAAUUGGCCGUUCUUGACUACUUUUGAUUUUACUUCUAUAUUUCACUUUUAAAAUAUGUUUUUCUUGCCUUGUUUGGUAUCAUUAUUUACAGCACAACCUCAAAUAUCUGAAAUUUGAGUUAUUUUUUCCAUUUUGG
rnacentral:lncRNA from 1 species